rnacentral:rRNA from 1 species
AAUCUUGGACAAUGGGGGAAACCCUGAUCCAGCAAUGCCGCGUGUAGGAUGAAGGCCUUCGGGUUGUAAAGUACUUUUGGCAGAGAAGAAAAGGUAUCUCCUAAUACGAGAUAAUGCUGACGGUAUCUACAGUAUAAGCAUCGGCUCACUACGUGUCAGCAGCCGCGGUAAUACUUAUGGUGCAAGGCUUAAUCGGAAUUAGUGGGCGUAAAGAGGGUGUAGGCGGGUAGGAAAGAAAGGUGUGAAAUCCCAGGGCUAAACCUUGGAAUUUAAUUUUUAACUGGCGAGCUAGAGUAUGUCAGAAGGGGGUAGAAUUCCACGUGUAGCAGUGAAAUGCGUAGAUAUGUGGAGGAAUACCGAUGGCGAAGGCAGCCCCCUGGGAUAAUACUGACGCUCAGACACGAAAGCGUGGGGAGCAAACA